AUGAUGGUUUGGUCGCUUUUCAUUAUAGAUCUUAUGGGACUUUUUUUUCUACAACAAAAUAGGCUCCAUAAUAUCUAUAGGGGGUUACCCACUACAAAUAUUAUAGAGC
rnacentral:ncRNA from 2 species